GGGGAUGUCUUGGUUUCGACAGGUCUAUGUUGGAUUCAGACUGCAGUGGAGUGAUGACCUAAUCAUCAAACAAAAAUAUUCGGCAAUAACGAAUUAGCAUUUGCUUAAUCGGUUGAGCGACGUUAGCUCCCAAAGCAGCUUCUAACUGUCAGGUUCAUAGCAGUUAGUCGUAUACAUGAACUAGGAAAAGUAAGUUGCUUCCAUUACCUUACCAUCCGAAAACCGAAAAGAAGGAUUCUUUGCUGGGUAGUUUAAGCCUGAGGCAAAGUCUUACUUAAAAGUUAAACUAAACUGUAGAUGUCUGAAUGUGGACUAUUCUUGGACAGGGGUUCGAGUCCCCUCAUCUCCACCA
rnacentral:tmRNA from 1 species